UAACAGCUUGAUUCUAGCUGUCUUAUUAAUUACUUAUUAACAAUUCAUUACAUGACAAAAAAUCAAUAAAAAAAUAAUUUCAGUACAUAAUAUUAAUCAAUUUAUAAACAUAGAACUAAAAAUUGUUAUAAUGGGUAACUAAAUCUGUGCCAGCAGUUGCGGUUAGACAAAAACCUAAAACUAAUAAUAAAGACUUAUAAUAUAAUUAUUAUAAACCACUCAUAUAGAUAAAAUUUAUAGCGAAUAAACCAAAUAUAUUUUAAUAGUAAAUAAACCUAUGAACUAAAACAAGGAUUAGAUACCCUUCUAUUCAUAGCAAUUUAAAUAGUCAGCAAGUAAAAACCAUAGUUUAAAAACUAAAGAAUCUGGCGGUGUUUUAUAAAAUCAGGGGAGCUUGUAUCUUAAUAUGAUAAUCCACAAAUAUCUUACCAUACUUUGAACUAUAGUCAGUUUGUAUAUUGCCGUUAAAGUUUAACUUAAAAAGUCAAACAACUCUAUUUAUUCUAAAUCAAUUAUAUCUCAGGUCAAAAUACAGCUGAUAGUAUGGAGACAAUGAGCUACAUCUAAAACAUUAUAUAUUUAUAUUACUAACACAAAUCUACAGAACUUGACAGUAAUUAACUUUUACUAAAAAUUUAUCAACCUUAAUAAAACAUGCACAUAUCGCCCGUCACUCUCACUGAAAAAUGAGAUAAGUCGUAACAAAGUAGAUGUAGCGGAAGCUGUAUCUAAACAGAA
rnacentral:rRNA from 1 species